UGAGCCUUAAUGAUAAUUGCUACUAAUCUUUCAAGAAAAAUGAUCAGAGUUCAGUAAACCACAAGGAGCAGAUUUUGCUGUAAACUUCAGAAACAUCUCACCACUAAGGUAUUGAUGCUUAUUUAUGUUGAAACACCUGGAGAUUCCCAAAUCUAUGUAAAUAAAAGGUGGCUGUUGGAAAGAGGUCAUCACUUUCAAGGAAGGUCAUGGCUCAGGUGAUGCUUCAGAGAG